AUUGAACGCUGGCGGCAUGCCUUACACAUGCAAGUCGAACGGUAACGGGCCUUCGGGUGCCGACGAGUGGCGAACGGGUGAGUAAUGUAUCGGAACGUACCUUUCAGUGGGGGAUAACGUAGCGAAAGUUACGCUAAUACCGCAUAUUCUGUGCGCAAGAAAGCAGGGGAUCGCAAGACCUUGCGCUGAUUGAGCGGCCGAUAUCAGAUUAGCUAGUUGGUGAGGUAAAGGCUCACCAAGGCGACGAUCUGUAGCGGGUCUGAGAGGAUGAUCCGCCACACUGGAACUGAGACACGGUCCAGACUCCUACGGGAGGCAGCAGUGGGGAAUUUUGGACAAUGGGGGCAACCCUGAUCCAGCCAUGCCGCGUGAGUGAAGAAGGCCUUCGGGUUGUAAAGCUCUUUCGGCCGGGAAGAAAUCGCACGGGCUAAUACCCUGUGUGGAUGACGGUACCGGAAUAAGAAGCACCGGCUAACUACGUGCCAGCCGCCGCGGUAAGAC
rnacentral:rRNA from 1 species